ensembl:misc_RNA Metazoa_SRP Metazoan signal recognition particle RNA
GCCAGGCGCAGUGGCCUACGCCUGUAAUCCCAGCACCUUGGGAGGCUGAGGCAGGUGGAUCACCUGAGGUUAGGAGUUCAAGACCAGCCUGGCCAACAUGGUGAACCCCUGUCUCUA